rnacentral:rRNA from 1 species
UACGGAGGGUGCACGCGUUAUCCGGAUUUACUGGGUUUAAAGGGUGCGUAGGCGGGCCCUUAAGUCAGUGGUGAAAGCUCCGAGCUUAACUCGGAAACUGCCAUUGAUACUAUAGGUCUUGAAUUCGGUCGAGGUUGGCGGAAUGUGUCGUGUAGCGGUGAAAUGCUUAGAUAUGACACAGAACACCGAUUGCGAAGGCAGCUAGCUAGACCGACAUUGACGCUGAGGCACGAAAGCGUGGGGAUCAAACAGG